GAUGAAGAACGUAGCGAAAUGCGAUAAGUAAUGUGAAUUGCAGAAUUCAGUGAAUCAUCGAAUCUUUGAACGCACCUUGCGCUCCUUGGUAUUCCGAGGAGCAUGCCUGUUUGAGUGUCAUUAAAUUCUCAACUACAAACAUUGGUUUUUACGAACUGGCGUUUUUUGUAGCUUGGACUUUGAAGUGUGCCGGAGACCCUUAAGUGCGGUGUAUUCGGCUCCUUUUUAAAUGCAUUAGCUGGAACCUUUUGUGGACCAGACUAUGGUGUGAUAAUUAUCUACGCUAUGGUUUGUGAAAGCAUUUAUUUUAUGGGGUUUCGCUUCUAAUCGUCCGCAAGGACAACAACCAUCUUAACUUAUGACAUUUUGACCUCAAAUCAGGUAGGACUACCCGCUGAACUUAAGCAUAUCAAUAAGCGGAGGA
rnacentral:misc_RNA from 1 species